ensembl:miRNA microRNA 671
GGCCAGGAAGAGGAGGAAGCCCUGGAGGGGCUGGAGGUGAUGGAUGUUUUCCUCCGGUUCUCAGGGCUCCACCUCUUCCGGGCC